UACGUAGGGAGCAAGCGUUGUCCGGAAUCAUUGGCGUAAAGGGCUCGUAGGCGGCCAACUAAGUCAGACGUGAAAUCCCUCGGCUUAACCGGGGGAACUGCAUCUGAUACUGGAUGGCUUGAGUUCGGGAGAGGGAUGCGGAAUUCCAGGUGUAGCGGUGAAAUGCGUAGAUAUCUGGAGGAACACCGGUGGCGAAGGCGGCAUCCUGGAGCCGACACUGACGCUGAGGAGCGAAAGCCAGGGGAGCAAACGGG
rnacentral:rRNA from 1 species